CUGCGAUGUGUAUAUCUAACAGGUGGAGUCGUCCUUAUCUGAAACUCUGAAAUGUAGGUAGCAAGAGUGUUCCAGACAAUUCUGAAAUGAGGAAGAAACAUAAAAAAAAGAGCCUGUACAUCCUGUUACGUUCUAAGCAUUCUUGCACACCAACAUUCUUAUCAAAUUAGAUCAAACAUAUCCCAAAGACACCCUACCUGGGAGGCAACUGCAUCCCCAUUCUACAAAUGCGGGUGCUGAGGCCCAGCUGGGAGGCGGUGAAGGCAAGGUGCGGACUGUCAGACCUCAGAGCACGCAGCGCUGGCUUCGUAUCUGCCGGCUCCCCCAGACAGACACGUGAGUCUCGUUUCCACCAGGGCUGGGCUGCAGGAUCGCGUUCACCGCUCUGCCUAACUUCCCUGGCCUUCAGUGGCCUCGUCUAGACUGGAGUGCCAUUGGGUUGUGCUAACGCAGGGAUGGGGUAACCCCCUGAGAAGCAGCCGCACCGUGCCUGGGAAAGCGCAGCUGGUGCUCCAGCUCACCUGGCCAAGGCAGCCUGUGUGGCUGUACUUCUCGGAGUUGCACAAGCAGAUGCCUGAAACCUCCACUGAGUGUCUUGUUUUUUCCCACCCCCACCUAAUUUUUAAAAGUUUGCUGUGUUGAUAUGAUGUGAUUUUUUCCCCUCUUACCAUUUCAUAAAAUUGAUUUUGGAGUCCAAAAUGCUGUCAAUGUGAGAACAUUAAUCUGCAAUCCCCAUAAGGAUGUGUAAUGUGAUUUAUAGAUGCAUUUUCUUUAGCUUAACAAUAUCAUGUUCACGUUUCGGCCUUGGCGGCCUUCAUCGCCUUGCCAAACUCUAGAGUUUUAUUGUUGCAUCAAAUAAACUGAGGUUAUAAAUCAUCUCCAGAUGUCAGCCUAAUUAUUCAGAAUGGGCGGGAACCCAUUGGAGGCUGAGAUUUGGACACAAGCUCUGAAGGCCAGAUUCUGCCCCGCCUCACCCUCACAACGGGCUGGCUCUGGGGGUCUUCCAGGGUCUUCCGUUGUUUCCUGGGCCUGGGGUUUCCUAAUGUACCCAACUUCUUCGGUGGGGGAGCCCAAGUUUCAACAGCAGACAUUGACAAGCCAGCCCGGCCACUGGCAUGGAUGUGAUGGCCCCUCUGACUCAGGGUCAUCUCUUCAACCCCAGGGGAAGGGAGUCGAAGGUCUGGGGAUGGGGUGGCAGUUGUUUUCUGGCCAUGGGGCACUACUUCAGACUUCUGUUCCUUCAGACCUUACUUGGGCAUAGAAUUUUCCAGAAAAUUCAACCAGAGAAAGAAUACUUCUUGUCCAUGGCUCCAGCCACAUUCCUCAGAUACUCUGGCUUGGCACUGGUGUCUCAUCCUUUCCUCUUCUCUUCCUCCCUCAACAUCUUGGAUGCCAUCUCUGCUGUUCCCACCUGCCUCUUCAUCGUCAGCUUGGCUCUGUGUCAGGCACAGUUAGAUGGACCAGUGUCAGGGGCCUCAUUGUGCGUGUCACACAAGCUGUCAUUUGGUCAACAUGCUAUGUAAGCGUAUUUACUUCAACGACCAAGCUGUCCUAGGCAGCUACCUCAUAGUGAUUCGCAUUUAAAAUGUGAGCUUUGGGAUGAGCAUUUGGAAUAGUGACUAAGACAAGCUUUAGGUCGCCUGCACUCCAUAUUGAAGUGCCUGGGUUCAGUAUCUGGUCUGCUUGCUCUGAUCCCAGCUUCCUCCUGGAGUGCAUUAUGGAGGGAAGCAUGGGAUGGCUCAAGCUGAGACUAGGAUUGGGCGCCAGCCUCGGCUUUGGCUGUGUCCUACAGUCCUGGCCAUUGAGGGUUUGGGGGACUAAACCAUCAAAUGACAGAGAGGCUUCAUCUGUCGUCUGUCUUUGCUUCUGUCUCUCUGACUUUCGAAGAAAUCAACAAUAAAAAUGUGAGAAAACAUACAUAUUGGCAUCGUGACUGUGUUCCUGGCUCAGCCAUCAAGACAGGAGGAGCCUGGGGCAUGGCAGUCCCAGCAUCAGUGUCAACACCCUGUCAGCCCCUUCCCCUCCCUCCUGCUCAUCAAGCCCACCAACCUCCACCCUGUGGGGCAGGUGCACGGGGAGCGACCCUGAGCCUCCUCUCCAGCCCUCAGGCUGUGGUUUGUUCUGUGAAGGGACGGCCGGUGCAGGGUGUACUUCAAACGUGACAGGCCCCGCUCAGAGCUCUGUGUGUUCAGGGCGCAGUGGAGGGAAGCGCUUCCUUGGAUGGUCUUGUGAGCGUGUGGGAGGGGACCUGUUGUCCCUCAGUUUCUUGGUGAGAUGUUUUCAGGCCCCAUUCUCCUUCUCAUUUGUUAAUGCUAGCAAAGAGAAAUGAGUAGGAGGGGAGGUGAAAAAGGGCAAGUUGUCUGAGGGGCAGCACGAAGCAACCCCGAGCCUCUAAGGCUAUGUCACUGAGGAAACGGCUCAGUGUGAGGGCAAGAUGUGAGCGUGACUACAUGGCCAGGUGCCGGGAGGGUGUGAAGGGUUAGGAUUAGGUGUGAACCGAACUCACAGAAGGGAGACCUUGACAGGAAGGAGGAGACUCGGUCAGCCCCCCACAGGUCCUCAGAAAAGGUCUCAGGCCACAGGCUGGGGAAGAGGAAGUCGAGGGGGCCUAGAGGUCAGCAACAGGCACUUGGGGUGAGUCACACACAACCAGAUUUCAGUCAGUCACACCCAGAGUUUCAGCGUCCAGCUGUUGAUGCAGGACACCCGGAGUUCAGUCGAAGACACUUGCAGUUGAUGAACACAUUCAGCUCGUCAGAGACAACAAGAGUUCAGUCAGAAACCCAAAUUUCCUUGUGAUUCAGUCAGAGACACCCAAACGCACCAAGAGUUCAGUCAGACACAGUGUUGCAUUUCCUCAGAGUUCAGACAUGCAAAGGUCAGCUAGGGAUGGGGAGAUGCAAGCAGCACACUGAGACUGCGGGACAGCUGUUCCACCUGGCAGCCAAGAUGCCAGUCAGGAUGCCCACAUCCCACAGAGCUGGGCCUGGACUGGCCUCCGACGCCAGCCGCCUGCUAACGCUGACACUGGGGAGAGGGCUGAUGGCUCAAGGAGCUGUAUCCCUGCCACCUCCAUGGCAGAUCUACGUUGAGUCCCUGGCUCCUCACGUUAGCCCAUUCUAAGGCUGGUCAUUGAGGCUGUUUCAGGGUGAACCAGAACAUAGCAGUUCUGUUUCUGUCUUCCCUAACGAAGAUAAAAAAGCACAAACACCCCAAAUUCAUUCAGAUAGACAGAAAUCAGUCCAACACACCAGGAUUCAGUCUGAACCUUCAGUAAUGGAAGACAUAAUUCACUUUGUUCUUUGGAGAAUAUAUAAGAAAUAUUUGAGGGUUUUGUCAUCCAUCUUCCAAUAGCAUACCAUCACUCCAUUUUAGUUCUGAGAUAUCUUCCUCAAGUCUCUUUCUCUAUCUGCACUCAGCGGUGAGUGUUCAGAAGGGGGUGGGAAUGAAGUUGAUCCGAGUGUCUGGACCGUCUCCGGGUGGCUCGAGGGCUUGGUGUGCUCUGUAACGUGGAUCUGGACAGCCCCAGCAGACCCUAUUGUAUAUGAAUGCACAGCUGAGACAGUGCCUAGCUCCCAUUGACAGCUCUGUGACACCUCACCGGAUGUGGGCUCACUGUUGCUCAGCUGACAGGGCCAGUAUGGUGGCCAAUGUCCAGGCUGGGGCCAGAGUCCAGGACAGAGACACUUUCUGUGGAAGGCCCCGAACUUUGCGCAGGAGAUGGAAGAUCCACCACCUUAAGGGGCUAAAGCGAGAUAUCCACCUGUACCCACAAACUUAUACCACAACAGAAGUCAAUGCAAGCACCUGUGGGUGCUGAGUGCUCUAGGGUGGGCCCUUAUGGGUUUUCUGUCAUCUUCCCAUCAUUGGGGCCCAUGCCAAGGGACAUCUGAGGCACAGGUCUGAUCUGGGACACUCCAGGCUUAGGCGUAACUUAACUUCUUCCUGUCUGUGUCUCACGCCUUCGUUCCUGGGAGCAGGAGAAGCUGACCUAGGGGACAGCAGGUGGGGCAAGCACCAAGUCUGCUUCCACAGAGCUCUGAUCCUGACUCUAGCCCCAGGGAUGUGAACUUGACACUAACUGCAUAGACGGAACUACCCUAUUUUCACAGCCGGCGCAAUGCCUGGUGAUUAUAGCGCAGUCCUCGUCAGCCAGUGUCUGGGCUCCCUUCCCAGCUUUGCCUCUAGAGUUCAGCUUCCUGACGACACAGAUCCAAGGACACAGCAGUGCUGCUCAGGCAUUUGAGUCCUAUAGCGGAGGCCUGGACUGAGUUCCCAGCUCAUAGCUUCAGCAUGGCUCAGCCCUGCUAGUGUGGGCAUUUGGGGAGUGGAUCUCAAUCUCUCUCUCUCUCUUUAUAUAUAUGUGUGUGCAUAUCCAGCCCCAGGGUAAAGGGUGAGUGGCUGAAUGAGCUAUGGACAGCCUGGCAGGCUUCUCAGGCAGCAAAGGCAGCCAGUAGGACAUCUGAAGGAACAGGACAAGCAAAGGACAAGUAGUGGCAGGGCAGGUGGCUGGUGUGGGGCAGGGCAGAGCCAGAGUAUAGAUAAAAACAAACAAAACAAAACAAAAAAACCUGAGCCAGGGAACAAACUAGGAAAUCCCUGGAAGAGCUGCGCUGCCUCUGGUUGUGUGCUGCGCUUGGCCCUGCUGACACUCAAGGCUGGGCCUUCCCUGAGUGGGACUACCUCCCACACUGCAGGGUGUGGACCAGCACACCUGGCCUGGACCCACUAGGGGCCAGUAGCAGCCCUUCUCCAGUAGAGACACCAAAAUGUGUCUCCCCAGACAUCAUCAGUCAUCCCCAGAGGGACAGUCUGGGUUAAGAAAGUUGCUCUCCAACAAAAGCUGCAUGAAUGAGGCAGUGGGGACCAGAGUGGCUUCAGCAGGCAGCAAGCUGGAAGUUAUACAAGGCCUCACUCUGCACUUUAGGCCUCAGGGCCAAGGCCCAACACAGGAUAGGUCCUCAGACAGCAGACACCAAGCCUUCCUUUCAUGCAGACUGAAGUCUGUGUGCCAAAACAUCUUGACUCAACACGGAUGAGUUCCUGUGGGGCUGCUGUCCCUCGGGCCAGCAGGCUGCGGUGGGCACCACCCGAGAGUUCGGACCAUGCAGGGUGGCUGUUUAUGUGUGUGCCCAGGGCUGCCUGCUAGGCGUAUUAGAGGCCAUGAAAUAAUGAUGAGGCCUCAGAGGGUAAUUAAAGCCACGGUGACAUUGAUCUGCUGAGAUUUCUGAGUGAGCCCAGAACACACGGGGUGACUCUCCAUCUUACCUCAUGCAGGCCUGGCCUGAUUGGCCCCCUGGGCAUUGCUGGGGCCUCUGAACCUCACCUGUGGCCGGGAGAUUCCCAGGGCAGCAGCCAAGCUGGCUUCAGAGCUGUGCAAAACAGGCAGCCUGGACCUGGGCGGGGAGGAACCCAGGUGGACCUGGGGGUGAGCCCAGCUGCUGUGCCCUGCACUGGAAAGACAGGAGCAGGCAGAUCUGUUAAAGACACAGUUCUCCCUCAACACAGUGUUGGGAGUAAACCUGUUCUCCAGGUCCCAAACACCGGGCAGGGCCAGCUGCCUGGGGGCUGGGCGUGUUUGUGAGUGUCCUCUGGGACCCAGGACCUGCCGGAAAGCUAACCAUCUGAGUACAGUACAGCUGGGAGUGACAUUGAAAAUUGGUCUACCUUCACACAGUUGAAAAUCCACUAGUUUCUUAAGACAAAGGUCAUUGCAAAAUUGUCCACUUUGUCAGGAACAGCGAUUGCUGAUGCUGAUUAGUUGCUUGCAUGUUCACUGCUGUCUUGGCUCAGUUUUAACCUUGGCAGUGUUGAGUAGGAUUCACUCAGAGAGUCAGAUUUUGUCACCCUGGCUGUCUCGUUGAUCUUGGGUAAAUGACUUGAGCCUGCUGUGCCUUAGUCUACCCGUUAGUACACGGGGGAAUAAUCAGUACCAUAGGUUGCAAAGGAGGCAGAGAAAGGGUGUGUAUGCUGGGAAGUUGUUUGCUCACUGCUUCCCUAGGUCUGGGGGCCAACCUCUCCCACCUUCAAGAUCCCUGAGUCCUGAUGAUGCUGUGGUGUCAUCUUCAGCAA